GAUCCGGGCGGUGGGUGUAGUGGGAAAACUGGAGGUGCGACGGGAAGAAAGAGCGGGCUCCCCUCUGAUUUUUCCAGCCGAGGUGGCGUGUACGUACGUAGUAGGGUGCUCUUGGGUCUCAUGUGACUGUGUCGUGCUGUGCAUAUGGAGCGGUUAUUACGCUGGAUUCGAUCGGAUAACAGUGCGGGUUAUCGUGCGCUGUCUGCUCGUCGAUGUACGUAGAGAGCAUGUGUGUGGCCAUUAAGACCAUGGAAAGCGGUACCCUCUCUUUUGCAUUGCAGUAGUACUAUCGGCGAAAGACCAAGGAAAAGGAGGCCGGCAUUGUACUGAAUUUGUAGCCACUUCCAAAAGUGUAGUGCAUUCAUUGUAGCGCAUGAUGCUAUGAAUAUCCUUUCACCGCUCGGUAACAAGUACUCCGUUUCUAAAUAUAAGUCUUUUUUAGAGUUUUUCACUAGUAAACUACAUACAAAAUAAAAUGAGUGAAUCAACACUCUAAAGCAUGUCUAUAUACAUCUGUAUGUAGUUUUCUAGUGCAAACUCUAAAAAGACUUAUAUUUAGGAACGGAGGGAGUAUAUACUGUCAAUUGGCGGCUCCUCACACAAACACACAUUUUUGUGUGAUUGUUAGCAAGGACUACAGCCGGCGUAAAACAGACGGAACCAGCCGAUGUAAAAUGUUUCGUUCGCUAAAAACCCUCGUUGCCUUCGAGAUCCCAGGUCAUCGCCCUUGACUCUUCGAACGCCGCCACCUCUAGGAUUCGCAGCCGUCGACACAAUUUACCCUGUCGUCGUCGCCGUAGCUGAACCGCCACCAAGCUAGGGUACGGUUCGAUCUCCUUUGCAUUCCCCGUCUCAUUCUUACGCAUUGGGACAGUUUUUUCUUCGAGCCACCAUGUGCAAACCCUUCCUUCCACCAGAUAAACCUCGUAGAGUAGAAGAAGUAGAAAUUCUAGAUCUGAUCUUCCGCAGCAUGCAACUCGGCGAGACCGAAUUUGCAAAAUUGGUUCCAUCGAUUCCUGUUUUAGGGUUCCUGAGAGGAAACUCGGUGAGACCGAGCAACUCUUUUCGCUGCCACCGAAAAUGACUGCCAAGUUCCUGUUAAGCGAGUAAGCCUUCUAGGUGACUCCGAAAAUGCCAACUCGGUGCCACCGAUUUACAUCCUGUAGAAGAUCAUACCCUGAGUUUCAAAACUUCAAAUUUUAAAAAACAUCUAAAUUUUGUGAUGCUCAUGCAUUCUGUCUUUCCUAUAUCCACUUCACAGGUUCUGUUGUUUGAUGUUGAGUGUGUCUGUCAGCAUGUCAAGUUCAGAUGAUAGUCAGAAUGACUUCAGAGAGCAGAGUGUCGAGAUGGACUCAGGCACUAGUCCAGAGAAGAUUGCUUCAGACCCUAGCUCUCCCAGUUCCAUGGCUUGCCCAAGGCAGCCACCAGGCAAAGGAGGAAGAUAGUUUCUGAUGAGGAAGACUCAGACUUUUUGCCCGAAGAAACAUCAGCCCCUCCUAAGGCUCCUCCAAGGAAAGUUGUCAGGAAGAUAUCUGUCAGUGCUGCUGAUCUAAGAGCACCUGAUUAUGCCAAGAAGGGCAAAGCAAUUGCCAAGGAUGCACCUACAAAGAAGGUUGGUGUGAAGAGGCCCAGGAAGAGAACUAUCCAUCUUGUUGGCAGAAAGACUUCUAUGUUUGAAGACCCAGAAGAAGCCGAGGAAGAAUCUCCUAAGGAGAUCCCAGUUCCUCCCAAGAAGAAGAAGUUGAUGGGUGAUGCAAUGAAGUCUGCUCAAAAGCCUGGUGCUAAAGCAAAGAAGGUUGUAGCUUCCAAGAAGACCGCCAAAUAUAUACCUGCAACUGCUAAGAGCAAAGGCCAUGCAUCUGGGGCCCAUGCUGCAGAAGAGGAAGAAGAUGAGAAUGCUUCAGUUCUCAGGAAGCUCAGACCAUACCUUCCACUCCACAAUGAUGCUCAUCCUGUAGCAGAAGACAUGAAGAAGAGGAAGGAUGCCGGAUUAAGAAAGUGGAGAGCUGCUGAUCCAUAUGUUGCCAGAAGACAAACUGUUGUUGAUCCAAGGUUUCUCACCAAGGAGCAACAAGAUUUUUAUGAGACUAUCUUGUAUGAAAAGAGUCCUGCUGUCAGUGGUGUGAGGUAUGUCGACUGGGCAUACAUCAAGGACAUUGAGAAUUUCUUUCCACAUGUUCAAGAGAACUUCAGGCUUGUUGACAUAGAAGAUUUUGUUGGGAAGGAGAUGACCCCAUGGAAUGACGAGAUGAUCACGCAAUUCUAUGCAACCGCUCAUUUCUAUGAUGUCUCUUUAGUUUAGAUGACCGAUGGACACAGGUACGACGCUACAAUUGCUGAAUGGGAUGCUAUCAUUGGUGUUCCCAAAUAGGAAGAAGCAGAUAUAGAUGUGUAUGCAGAUGCUAAGCAAAAUCACAACUCCAUGGCCAAUAUGUACAAGACCAUUCCACAUCAGUAUUUGACCAGUCACAAGGUUGGUUCAGUAUAUUUUCUGCAAGCUGGUAUUCCCACAACAAACAUUAUACUGCGAUACACUCUCAUGCCUAAGUCAGGAGAUGAGAAGAUGAAUAGAGGAUAUUCAAUCAACCUGCUGCACCUACUUUAUACCCAUACCAGAUUUAGAGUGAUGGACUUGAUAGUUGAGUCUAUCCGAAGGACUGCUGUGGAUCAGAAGAGAUCAUGUGGAUAUGCACCCUAUAUUCAGAUGCUCAUCAAUGCCAAGCUAGGCAAGCAUGCAUAUCAACUUGAUCGUCCCCAUCUACCUCUUCAGCCUGAAUUUGAAGACAAUGGGGUUGUGAUGGAUGACAAUGAUCCCAACUCAGUUGCAACAAGAAUGACAGCAGAGGCAGCAGAGGCUGGAGCUGCUAGAAAUAGGUCACCUCUAGUUCCAUAGCUCAAAACUCAAGCUGAGAAAAUGACAUUUCUAGUGAGCACUGUCCAAGGCAUGGAGAAGAACAUUUAGGAGAUUAUGCAAAAUCAGAAGAGCCUUGAGAGAGUUGUGGAGAAAAAAAAUCCACAACAUGGAUUUGAAGGUAACUAAGUUGACCACCAUUGUCACACAGCUUCAACAUGAAGUUGACUCUGUGGAGAUUCCACGCUCAAAGGAUGAAGAUGAAGAUGAUGAUGAUGACGAGGAUGAGUCUGCUCCUCUCACUACCACUAGGUUCAGCACCCAGCCUCGGUCAAUUGAUGUUCCUGCUCCGGAGACAAGACAUACAUCUUCAGCACAAGCUUCAGCACCUUCAGCACCAGCUCCACCUCAAGCUCCUUCAGUAUCAACUCCUCCAGCUCCAGGGACGUCAGCAGAAGCCUUCACCGACGCUGUUUUAUCGACUCCAUCAUCAGCUGCCUAGAGAGACGAGUAGUUCUAUACUUUUGAACUUUUUGGUAACUUGUUGCCAAAGGGGGGAUGCAUAGAUCAUAGACUUCGUGUGAGAGAGAGAUUUUGACUUUAUUUUCUCUCGUUUGGUUUUUAAAAACUUUGGUGUUUUGACGACUUUAUCCUAUCUGUGUGUGUGAUCAUACACUUUAUCCUGUCUGAUGCUACUAUAUCAUCUUUUACUAUCUUUGUGAUGAUCACCCACUUACCUUGUUGGUGUCAUGUGCCUUACUUUUACUUUUACGCACCACCAAGAUCUAUGUGACAUGGAAGAGUAACCCAUGAUCCUAAUCGAUUGUGCAUUUGCAUUCAAAUGUAAAUUUUAAAUAAUGCACAAAUUUAGGGGGAGCUCUUGCUUUUCACAUACUUCUCCAAGCGUCGAUGCUAAUCAUUGAUUAUAUCUUUUGUCGAAGUUUUUAUCUAUAUGUUGUCAUCAAUUACCAAAAAGGGGGAGAUUGAAAGCACAAUUUCUCCCUAGGGUGGUUUUGAUAAUUGAUCACAACAUAUGCAUCAUUGGACUAAUGUGUUUUCCAAGUAUAUUUCAGAAAAGUUCAAAAGAUGUUUUGGCUUAAGGUUUAUGUGGAGAUACCCCUCGAUACAAGAAAGGAAUAAUAUUGGCUCAAGCUUCAAGCUAGAAGACACUUCAUUUUAUAUUUAUGAUAAAUCAUUUUUGAGUACAUAGGAAAGCCAAUACUAUUAAAAGGGGUGAGGUAGUAAAAUGAACUGAUUGCUCAAAUGCUCGAAGUUAGCCACCAAAACACUCAGUCACUUUUCCCACAUAUCCACUCUGUCAAGUUCCACAUACAUAAAUUCGGUGUAACCAACAUUGCCACUUUGGACCCACCGAGUUUGAACCUCAUACAGAACCCUAGCAAUUUCCACCAAAUUGGUGCAACCGAAACUGCAUCGGUGCUACCGAGUUCAGUGUGACCAACAUUCUGUUGCCAAGAUACACAAAAUCGGAAUUUCCGAGUUUGAGUAUUGGUGCCACCUAGUUUGGUCAUCUGAGCGUUAGCCACCUUUUCGGUGCCAUCGAGUUCUAUAUAUCGGUCUCACCGAGAUUCAAAGUUCAUGUUGGGGAACGUUGCAUGGGAAACAAAAAAUUUCCUACGCACACGAAGACCUAUCAUGGUGAUGAUCAUCUACCAGAGGGAGAUCGGAUCCACAUACCCUUGUAGACCGCUGCUAAGGCGACAGAGAUCUUCUGUUGACUCUUGAGCUUGCAUUGGUUUUUUUCCCUUGAAGAGGAAAGGGCGAUGCAGCACAGGAGCAGUAAGUAUUUCCCUCGGUUUGAGAACCAAGGUAUCAAUCCAGUAGGAGAAUCUCAUCAAGUCCAGAGUACGUGCACAAACACAAAAGAGCUUGCACCCAACGCUAUAAAGGGGUUGUCAAUCCCUUCAAGAUUGAUUGCAAAGUGAGAUCUGAAGGCAGAACAUGCAACGAAGUAAAAGAGUAAGGCUGAAAAUAUGGUGUGGAGUAGACCCGGGGGCCAUAGUGUUCACUAGAGGCUUCUCUCAAAAUAGCAAAUAUUACGGUGGGUGAACAAAUUACUGUCGAGCAAUUGAUAGAACGGCGCAAAGUCAUGACGAUAUCUAAGGCAAUGAUCAUACAUAUAGGCAUCACGUCCGAGACAAGUAGACCGAUACUUUCUGCAUCUACUACUAUUACUCCACACAUCGACCGCUAUCCAGCAUGCAUCUAGUGUAUUGAGUUCAUGACGAACAGAGUAACGCUUUAAGCAAGAUCACAUGAUGUAGAGGGAUAAUCUCAAACCAAUGAUGAAAACCCAUCUUUUUACCCUUGAUGGCAACAACAUGAUGCGUGCCUCGCUACCGCUUCUGUCACUGAGUGUGGUCACCGCACGGUAUGAACCCAAAACCAAGCACUUCUCCCAUUGCAAGAAUCAUAGAUCUAGUUGGCCAAACAAAACCCACAACUCGAAGAUAAUUACAAGGAUAUGUAAUCAUGCAUAAGAGAGAUCAGAAGAAACUCAAAUAAGAUUGAUAGAUAAUCUGAUCAUAAAUCCACAAUUCAUCGAAUCUCGACAAACACACCGCAAAAGAAGAUUACAUCGGAUAGAUCUCCAUGAAGAUUAUGGAGAACUUUGUAUUGAAGAUCCAAGAGAGAGAAGAAGCCAUCUAGCUACUAGCUAUGGACCCGUAGGUCUAUGGUGAACUACUCACGCAUCAUCGGAGAGGUCAUGGUGUUGAUGAAGAAGCCCUCCAUAUCCGAAUCUCCCCUCCGACAGGGCACCAGAACGUGCCCCAGAUGGGAUCUUGCGGAGACAGAAGCUUGCGGCGGCGGAAAAGUACUUUCGAUGAUCUCCUGAUUUUUUCUGGGAUUUUAGGGAAUUUAUAGGCGAAAGACCUUGGGCAGAGGAGUCCCAGGGAGCCCACAAGCCUGGAAGGCACGUGCCCCCCUGGCCGCGGCUAGGGGGCUUGUGGGUUCCCCGGUGACCUCCUGCCCUGAUUCUCAGGCUUCCCGAUCUUUUUCUGUUUCGGAAAAAAUAUUUUUGGCAGUUUCGCUCCGUUUGGACUCCGUUUAAAAUCCUCCUCUAAAAGGGGUCAAAAAUAUGAAAAAAACAGGAGCUGGCACUUGGCAGUGAGUUAAUAAGUUAGUCCCAAAAAAUAUAUAAAAGGCAUACAAAACAUCCAAAGUUUGACAAGAUAAUAGCAUGAAAUCAUCAAAAAUUAUAGAUACGUUGGAGACGUAUCAACCGCUAAGCGGGAAGCGUUAAGAAACGCGGUUGAUGUAGUGGAACGUCUUCGCUAUCCAAAUCGCCGCCGUCACAUGAUCCGUCCCGACCUAGCGCCGAACGGACGACACCUCCGCGUUGAGCACACGUACAGCUCGACGAUGAUCUCCGCCUUCUUGAUCCAGCAAGAGGGGUGUAGAGGUAGAUGAGUUCUCUAGCAGUGCAACAGUGAUGGUGGUGGAGCUAGUCCAGCCGGGCUUCGCCUAAGCACCGCUGAAAACUAGACUAGAGGAGAAACGGAUGUAGAGAGAGGGCAGCGCGUGGCUGAUUAUUGUGUCUCAAAAACCCUCAAAACCUCUAGUAUAUAUAGGAGGAGAGGAUAGGAGGCUGCCUUGGCCCCUCCUCCAAGGAGUGGGGUCGGCUGAACCAAAGGAAGAGUCCACCUUCCUUGUGGGAAGGUGGACUACUUUGGGAGGACUGCUCCUUUUCGUUCCUUUUAAAAGUUCUUUGCCUUUUAUCUCUUCUCCUAGCCACAUGGGCCUUCGAGAGAGGCUUUGGCCAGCCCACCAGGGGCUGGUCCACCUCUUCGCACAGCCCGUAAGGCUCAUGGGUCGUCACACCCCUCCCGGUGGUCCCUCGGCACUCCUAGUACACUACCGAUGAGUCCGAAACUUUUCCGAUGACCAAAACAUGACUUCCUAUAUAUCAAUAUUUACCUCUGGACCAUUCCGGAUCUCCUCGUGACGUCCAGGAUCUCAUCCGGGACUCCGAAAAACCUUCAGUCACAACACCUAUAACUCAACCAUACCAAAACGUCAUCGAACCUUAAGUGUGCAGACCCUACAGGUUCGAGAACUAUGCAAACAUGACCGAGACACUCUCCGGUCAAUAUCCAAUAGCGGGACCUAGACGUCCAUAUUGGAUCCUACAUAUUCUACGAAGAUCUCAUUGGUUGAACCUCUAUGUCAAGGAUUCACACAAUCAUGUAUAUCAUUCCUUUGUCCUUCGGUAUGUUACUUGCACGAGAUUCGAUCGUCGGUAUCGACAUACUUAUUUCAAUAUCGUUACCGACAAGUCUCUUUACUUGUUCCGUAAUACAAGAUCCCGUGGAUAACUCUUUAGUCACAUUGCUUGCAAGGCUUAUUUGUGAUGUUGUAUUACCGAGCGGGUCCUGAGAUACCUCUCCGUCACACGGAGUGACAAAUCCCAGUCUUGAUCCAUGCUAACUCAACGUACACCUUCAGAGAUACCUGUAGAGCACCUUUAUAGUCACCCCGUAACGUUGCGAUGUUUGAUACACACAAGGCAUUCCUCCGAUGUCAGUAAGUUACAUGAUCUCAUGGUCAUAGGAAUGUAUACUUGACAUGCAUAAAACAAUAGCAACAAAAUGACACGAUCAUAUGCUACGUUUAUAGUUUGGGUCUUGUCCAUCACAUCAUUCUCCUAAUGAUGUGAUCUCGUUAUCAAGUGACAACACUUGUCUAUGGCUGGGAAACCUUAACCAUCCUUGAUCAACGAGCUAGUCAACUAGAGGCUUACUAGGGACAUUGUUUUGUCUAUAUAUCCACACAUGCAUUUAUGUUUCCAUUCAAUACAAUUAUAGCAUGGAUAAUAAACAAUUAUCUUGAAACAUGGAAUAUAAUAAUAACUAUUUUAUUAUUUCCUUUAGGGCAUAUUUCCAACAGUUCACACUUUUAGUAGUAGUCGGUACCACCAAGUUGUCCACUUCGGUGUCACCGAGUUUGCACUUUUGUGUGUAACGGUAGGAUUUUGGGUGGUGCCUAUAUAUACCCCUUCUCCCACAUCUCAUUCGUAGGAGAAGCACUCUGAACGCACACUUCAUUUCCAGAUCCAUUUUCUGAGAGAGGACCACCUACACAUGUGUUGAGACCAAGAUAUUCCAAUCCAAUCCUUUGAAACUUGAUCUCUAGCCUCCCCAAACUGCUUUCCACCAAAUCAACCUCUCCUACUCAUGCAUAUUCAGUGAGAGUGUGAUUUGUGUUGAGGAGACUAUAUUUAGAAGCACAAGAGCAAGGAGUUCGUUGAUCUACCACAUCUAUUACCUUUUGGAGGGUGGUGCCUCCUAGAUUUGUUAGGAGUCGCUUGGGAGCCUCCUACUGUGUGUUGUGGAGUUGAACCAAGAUGUUUGUAAGGGCAAGGAGAUCGCCUACUUCAUGAAGAUCUAUCGUGAGUGAGGCUAGUCGUGUGUGGACGAAAGCCGUGGUGGAAUAGACAAGGCCGCUUCUUUGUGGACCCCUUGUGGGUGGAGCCCUGUGUGGGAUCUCGCAGCCCUUACCCUCCGUGGGUUGAAGUCUCCACUAACAUGGACGUACGAUGGCGCCACCUAUCAGAACCAUGCCAAAAAUCACCGUGUCAACCUCAUGCGUUUGAUCUCCCUACCUUACUCCUCUACUUUACACUUGCAUGUUUUACUUUCCGCUGAUAUACUAUUAGAACUGCAUGUGUAGGGUGUACUUGACCUGUUAUAACUCCAUAGCUGCCUCUUAAGUAAAAUUAGGAAAAGACAAAAAUUUUAUCUUGUCAAGUAGUCUAAUCACCCCCCUCCUCUAGACAUACUUUCGAUCCUACAACCCUCUUCCCCAAAAGACUGGCAUGAUAGUAUGUGAUAGCUCCGCUCUAACAACUUGUGCUCUGCCUUGUCCCACAAUCGAUGUGGGACUAACUCAACAAUUUCUCUCUCACAUAUCGAUCAUCAUGGCCCCACUGAUACUAGUGUGUACAACUCAUUAAUCAUGACUUGUCACCCAUGAAUUCAUCAAGAUUUAUUUCUCGCACUUGAGCCCUAAUACCCGAUUGUUGACAGAGAUCCCAACUCCUCUUGUAAUUUUCAACACGAUGUAGCUCCCUACCUGGUCGGGUACUUUCCAGCCGAGUAAUGAAGCUAAGGGUCGGUUGGGCGGCUUAAAAAUAAACUGCCUCUUCCCAGCUUAAAAAAA
rnacentral:lncRNA from 1 species